AGUCUGGUCUGGAAGAAGAAGAGAUAUGUCAUCUCUAUGGGCUUUGAUCUUGGUAGGCAUAUUUAUUCACCAGGUACACAAAUGCAACUUUACACCCUCAGCCACAUUUAGUAAACUAUUUCAUCAUCUGUUGCAGUCUUAUUCUGAUGGGAAAAAUUUCCUCUCUUUUUCAAGUUUAAUUUAUUAUUUUUUCAAAUUACAAGAGCAAUGCAUAUUAUUGUAACCAGAGAGAUAAUGCCAAGAUCUGUAGAGAAAAACUUAAUAAUCUCGACCUCCUAUAACCAUCUCUCUUCCCAUCCCCCUGAGGUAAUAGCAAAUGUUAACAGCCUGCUACCUCUGCACAUCUUCCUUCCUUCAUGAUUUCCCGUGUACGUCCAGGGGUCAGAAGUGGCUACAGAGAUGGAGUCUUCAUUAUUAAGGAAGGGGACAGCAAAGUGGAGCCACAAAUGGGAAGAUUGUGAAGAGGGCCCUUGACCAAAUAAAGAGGAAACCUUUUCCCUGAAGAGGACCUUUCAGCAACCCAACUAAUUCACUCAUUUUUCUCAAAGCUGAAUUUUCUUCCACAAAAACCCCUUGACUUUGUUGUUGAGUAGAUCCUCAGGCCUAGGAAAAUAAUGUCUACAUCGACCAAGGAGAUAUUUGAACUACCAGUACUUCCUGCAGCAUCUUUGUUUUGGUUGGCCUGGGCAGGCGGUGGGGCACGGGGGUGAAGGGAGGGGUCUGAGGUGCGUAGAAAACAAGGGUAUCCCCAGGGUUAUGGGAGGAAGGUCUAGUGGACUGGAACCAUUGUAUCUGUCGAUUAGUGGAGGCAAUCAUAUUUGUGAUCCUUGAGCUAAUGGUCUAGUAAGACUAUAAACUUGUUCAUAAUUAAAGCUGGCAAGAGGGUUCUUACCCCACGUAAUGAGACAAGAGUGAACCACAGGAGGAAGCCAGCACAGAGACCGUAUGUAAUGAGUUCCUUCAUGGGAAAGGGAUGGAAAACAGUCCUCAGGCUAGCAGCAGAGGGAGUGCUGUCUGUUGUGGGUCUUGACCUGCUUAAGAGGUCUGACUUGAGGUGAGGCUGAAAGACAGCCCCGUUGGGGGCUUCAAGGUAAAGUUGGACGGAUAGGGUUCUCUCACCGCUGAGUAUCUCCUAAGGCAUUGGUAAAACACUAUUUAAAUAUUUCCUCUGUAACUCAGUUGUGCUAUUAAAGCUCUGUUUCUCAAA
rnacentral:lncRNA from 1 species